UGGAACUUUACAAGGAUGGUUCUCCUGACAUUGUCAAUGAGUUCAUUGAUUUCAGCCAGAAAGGUCACUUCAAAGGGAUGCAAUUUACUCGUGUAGUAAAGAACUUUGUCAUUCAAGGUAGUAAAAUUGAAAACUCUGAAGCUACAGAAGAUUGGACAUCGAGGGGAAAACAUUACAGCCAACUAAACACAAGUCUUAAGCAUGAAGCAUUUAUGCUUGGUACUUCCAAAGCGACACAUGAAGGUGGAGGAUUUGAUCUAUUUAUUACAACUGCACCAAUACCAGAUUUGAAUGACAAGAUUAAUAUCUUUGGGCGUGUCAUCAAGGGAGAAGAUGUCGUGCAGGAAAUCGAAGAAGUAGAUACAGAUGACCACUAUCGACCCAAAACUCCUGUACAAAUCAAUGAAGUAACUCUCAAGCACAAAACCUGAACUGUCUAUCUAUGAGAUGCACUUACUUGACAUCGAUGAACAUAAGCAGGCAUCAUCAUAAGUAGAGUUGCUAACUGUGGGUUUGAUGUAAGAUAUGGAUUUCAUUUGUGUAAUUUGGCUAGGCUCCUCCCCAAAAUUUUGUGUUAAAU
rnacentral:misc_RNA from 1 species